AAACCAUGAUGAGGGCACUGUCUUUGUAGACUUUUGAAUAUGUCCCAUGCUUCAAAUAAUGAUUCUCCAUAUGUCUGAGCAAAAAUUUGUAAUGCAAUUCCUCAUAU